UUUCCACCUGUGCCCAAGGCUUUCUGUGGUUGCAGUCCUGCACAGACUACUCUCUCCGUACCGGACCCCCAGGUAAGAAGGACUCCUGAGACGCGCAUGGUUGGCGCAUACUGGCGCGGGGUGCGGUAUCUGUCACAACACAGGGCACAAUGCUUCUCAUUUAGACGGCCGUUGGAACUGUUGUGUUUGAGGAAGGUUCGUACGCCACACCCUGACCAGGGUGCAUCCGAUCUGGAGCCUAACGAGGCUACUCUCUCUGUUAAUGUAUGAAAUGGAGCACCGAUGAGAUGCUUGCCAGUCCGUAAUCAGACCCACAAAUGAUGAUUCCCUCACUUUCUGCCAUGUUAUAUGACAUCAUGUUCUAUGACAUCAUCAUAAUAAAAAAAGAGAA